rnacentral:rRNA from 1 species
ACGGAGAAUUGCUAGCUUGCUAAUAAUUCUCUAGUGGCGCACGGGUGAGUAACACGUGAGUACCUGCCCCCAAGAGUGGGAUAGCCCCGGGAAACUGGGAUUAAUACCGCAUAAAGCAAUAAAGCAGCAAUGCGCUUGGGGAUGGGCUCGCGUCCUAUUAGUUAGUUGGCGAGGUAACGGCUCACCAAGGCGAUGACGGGUAGCCGGUCUGAGAGGAUGUCCGGCCACACUGGAACUGAGACACGGUCCAGACACCUACGGGUGGCAGCAGUCGAGAAUCAUUCACAAUGGGGGAAACCCUGAUGGUGCGACGCCGCGUGGGGGAUAAGGUCUUCGGAUUGUAAACCCCUGUCAUGUGGGACAUUAAAAGAUAGUACCACAAGAGGAAGAGACGGCUAACUCUGUGCCAGCAGCCGCGGUAAUACAGAGGUCUCAAGCGUUGUUCGGAAUCACUGGGCGUAAAGCGUGCGUAGGCGGUUUCGUAAGUCGUGUGUGAAAGGCGGGGGCUCAACCCCCGGACUGCACAUGAUACUGCGAGACUAGAGUAAUGGAGGGGGAACCGGAAUUCUCGGUGUAGCAGUGAAAUGCGUAGAUAUCGAGAGGAACACUCGUGGCGAAGGCGGGUUCCUGGACAUUAACUGACGCUGAGGCACGAAGGCCAGGGGAGCGAAAGGGAUUAGAUACCCCUGUAGUCCU